rnacentral:rRNA from 1 species
UACGUAGGUGGCAAGCGUUGUCCGGAUUUACUGGGCGUAAAGGGAGCGUAGGCGGAUACUUAAGUGGGAUGUGAAAUACCUGGGCUUAACUUGGGUGCUGCAUUCCAAACUGGGUGUCUAGAGUGUUGGAGAGGAAAGUGGAAUUCCUAGUGUAGCGGUGAAAUGCGUAGAGAUUAGGAAGAACACCAGUGGCGAAGGCGACUUUCUGGACAAUAACUGACGCUGAGGCUCGAAAGCGUGGGGAGCAAACAGGAUUAGAUACCCUGGUAGUCCACGCCGUAAACGAUGGGUACUAGGUGUAGGGGGUAUAGACUCACCCUGUGCCGCCGUUAACACAAUAAGUACCCCGCCUGGGGAGUACGGUCGCAAGAUUAAA